rnacentral:rRNA from 1 species
AUUGAACGCUGGCGGCAGGCCUAACACAUGCAAGUCGAGCGGAUGAAGGGAGCUUGCUCCUGGAUUCAGCGGCGGACGGGUGAGUAAUGCCUAGGAAUCUGCCUGGUAGUGGGGGAUAACGUCCGGAAACGGGCGCUAAUACCGCAUACGUCCUGAGGGAGAAAGUGGGGGAUCUUCGGACCUCACGCUAUCAGAUGAGCCUAGGUCGGAUUAGCUAGUUGGUGGGGUAAAGGCCUACCAAGGCGACGAUCCGUAACUGGUCUGAGAGGAUGAUCAGUCACACUGGAACUGAGACACGGUCCCGGCUCCUACGGGAGGCAGCAGUGGGGAAUAUUGGACAAUGGGCGGAAGCCUGAUCCAGCCAUGCCGCGUGUGUGAAGAAGGUCUUCGGAUUGUAAAGCACUUUAAGUUGGGAGGAAGGGCAGUAAGUUAAUACCUUGCUGUUUUGACGUUACCAACAGAAUAAGCACCGGCUAACUUCGUG